CAGUAGCCGCGGUAAUACGUAGGCAGCGAGCGUUGUUCGGAAUUACUGGGCGUAAAGAGUGUGUAGGCGGUGCUCUAAGUUUGGUGUGAAAUCUCCCGGCUUAACUGGGAGGGUGCGCCGAAGACUGGAGUGCUCGAACGUGGGAGAGGAAAGCGGAAUUCCUGGUGUAGCGGUGAAAUGCGUAGAUAUCAGGAGGAACACCUGCGGUGUAGACGGCUUUCUGGACCAUUGUUGACGCUGAGACACGAAAGCGUGGGUAGCAAACAGGAUUAGAUACCCCCGUAGUCCCUGUCUCUUAUAA
rnacentral:rRNA from 1 species